UACGUAGGGAGCAAGCGUUGUUCGGAUUUACUGGGCGUAAAGGGCGCGUAGGCGGCGCGGUAAGUCACUUGUGAAAUCUCUGAGCUUAACUCAGAACGGCCAAGAGAUACUGCAGUGCUAGAGUGCAGAAGGGGCAAUCGGAAUUCUUGGUGUAGCGGUGAAAUGCGUAGAUAUCAAGAGGAACACCUGAGGUGAAGACGGGUUGCUGGGCUGACACUGACGCUGAGGCGCGAAAGCCAGGGGAGCAAACGGG
rnacentral:rRNA from 1 species